rnacentral:tRNA from 1 species
GGGAAUGUGGCUAAGUGGUAGAGUGCUUGCCUUGCAUGUAUUAAGUCCCAGGUUCGAUUCCUCAGUACCA